rfam:Catenibacterium sp. CAG:290 genomic scaffold, scf83
AAUGCCGCAAUCAAUAUACCGUAGACAGUAACUGACGCAAGUCUCAAUUUGUUACCGAGGGAUAUUGUCAUGUAUGAAAAUGACAAACCCCUAGGUAAUCUAGGGGUUUUUAUAUAACGCG